CUUCCAUCACCUCCACUAGCUUUGUUCAUAGUAAUGCUUCUUAAGGUCCAGUUGACUUCAUACUGCAAGAUAUCUGACUCCAGCUCAGCUCAUUAAAAAUCCUGCCAAUAUACAUAUACUCUGUACGAUUUACCUGUGUUUAUGUUAAAAAUUCCUCGGUACAAAUCCUACUUCUUGAAUAUCAUAUGACAGCUCUGCAUAUGCAAACUACAGCAGGCACACAGAUCCACUGGAUUUAAAAUUCUUUAGUCAUUGCAGCCCACGUGUUUUGCACUAUCUGACAGAAGCAAGUGUGGAA